rnacentral:rRNA from 1 species
UGCAAGUCGAGCGCAGGAAGCAGACAGAUCUCUUCGGAGUGAUGUUUGUGGAAUGAGCGGCGGACGGGUGAGUAACACGUAGGCAACCUGCCUGUAAGACUGGGAUAACUCGCGGAAACGCGAGCUAAUACCGGAUAAUACUUUUUGCUGCAUAGCAGGAAGUUGAAAGGCGGCAUUUGCUGUCACUUACAGAUGGGCCUGCGGCGCAUUAGCUAGUUGGUGAGGUAACGGCUCACCAAGGCGACGAUGCGUAGCCGACCUGAGAGGGUGAUCGGCCACACUGGGACUGAGACACGGCCCAGACUCCUACGGGAGGCAGCAGUAGGGAAUCUUCCGCAAUGGACGAAAGUCUGACGGAGCAACGCCGCGUGAGUGAUGAAGGUCUUCGGAUCGUAAAACUCUGUUGUCAGGGAAGAACAAGUACCAUAGUAACUGAUGGUACCUUGACGGUACCUGACCAGAAAGCCACGGCUAACUACGUGCCAGCAGCCGCGGUAAUACGUAGGUGGCAAGCGUUGUCCGGAAUUAUUGGGCGUAAAGCGCUCGCAGGCGGUUCUUUAAGUCUGAUGUGAAAUCUUGCGGCUCAACCGUAAACGUGCAUUGGAAACUGGAGGACUUGAGUGCAGAAGAGGAGAGUGGAAUUCCACGUGUAGCGGUGAAAUGCGUAGAGAUGUGGAGGAACACCAGUGGCGAAGGCGACUCUCUGGUCUGUAACUGACGCUGAGGAGCGAAAGCGUGGGGAGCGAACAGGAUUAGAUACCCUGGUAGUCCACGCCGUAAACGAUGAGUGCUAGGUGUUAGGGGGUUUCCGCCCCUUAGUGCUGAAGUUAACGCAUUAAGCACUCCGCCUGGGGAGUACGGCCGCAAGGCUGAAACUCAAAAGAAUUGACGGGG